AGAGUUUGAUCAUGGCUCAGAUUGAACGCUGGCGGCAUGCCUUACACAUGCAAGUCGAACGGCAGCACGGAGCUUGCUCUGGUGGCGAGUGGCGAACGGGUGAGUAAUAUAUCGGAACGUACCCUAGAGUGGGGGAUAACGUAGCGAAAGUUACGCUAAUACCGCAUACGAUCUAAGGAUGAAAGUGGGGGAUCGCAAGACCUCAUGCUCGUGGAGCGGCCGAUAUCUGAUUAGCUAGUUGGUAGGGUAAAAGCCUACCAAGGCAUCGAUCAGUAGCUGGUCUGAGAGGACGACCAGCCACACUGGAACUGAGACACGGUCCAGACUCCUACGGGAGGCAGCAGUGGGGAAUUUUGGACAAUGGGCGAAAGCCUGAUCCAGCAAUGCCGCGUGAGUGAAGAAGGCCUUCGGGUUGUAAAGCUCUUUUGUCAGGGAAGAAACGGUGAAAGCUAAUAUCUUUUGCUAAUGACGGUACCUGAAGAAUAAGCACCGGCUAACUACGUGCCAGCAGCCGCGGUAAUACGUAGGGUGCAAGCGUUAAUCGGAAUUACUGGGCGUAAAGCGUGCGCAGGCGGUUUUGUAAGUCUGAUGUGAAAUCCCCGGGCUCAACCUGGGAAUUGCAUUGGAGACUGCAAGGCUAGAAUCUGGCAGAGGGGGGUAGAAUUCCACGUGUAGCAGUGAAAUGCGUAGAUAUGUGGAGGAACACCGAUGGCGAAGGCAGCCCCCCUGGGUCAAGAUUGACGCUCAUGCACGAAAGCGUGGGGAGCAAACAGGAUUAGAUACCCUGGUAGUCCACGCCCUAAACGAUGUCUACUAGUUGUCGGGUCUUAAUUGACUUGGUAACGCAGCUAACGCGUGAAGUAGACCGCCUGGGGAGUACGGUCGCAAGAUUAAAACUCAAAGGAAUUGACGGGGACCCGCACAAGCGGUGGAUGAUGUGGAUUAAUUCGAUGCAACGCGAAAAACCUUACCUACCCUUGACAUGGCUGGAAUCCUUGAGAGAUCAGGGAGUGCUCGAAAGAGAGCCAGUACACAGGUGCUGCAUGGCUGUCGUCAGCUCGUGUCGUGAGAUGUUGGGUUAAGUCCCGCAACGAGCGCAACCCUUGUCAUUAGUUGCUACGAAAGGGCACUCUAAUGAGACUGCCGGUGACAAACCGGAGGAAGGUGGGGAUGACGUCAAGUCCUCAUGGCCCUUAUGGGUAGGGCUUCACACGUCAUACAAUGGUACAUACAGAGCGCCGCCAACCCGCGAGGGGGAGCUAAUCGCAGAAAGUGUAUCGUAGUCCGGAUUGUAGUCUGCAACUCGACUGCAUGAAGUUGGAAUCGCUAGUAAUCGCGGAUCAGCAUGUCGCGGUGAAUACGUUCCCGGGUCUUGUACACACCGCCCGUCACACCAUGGGAGCGGGUUUUACCAGAAGUAGGUAGCUUAACCGCAAGGAGGGCGCUUACCACGGUAGGAUUCGUGACUGGGGUGAAGUCGUAACAAGGUAACC
rnacentral:rRNA from 1 species